GGCCCCAUAAGUGACAUCAGGCCCCAUAAGUCACAACAGGCACCGUAGGUCACUCCACACCCCCUAAGAUCCACCCAGCCCCACAAGUGGCACCAGGCCCCACAGAUCACUGUAGGCCCCACAGAUCACUGCAGGCCCCAUAGAUCUCAGCAGCCCCACGGAUCUCAGCAGCCCCAUAGAUCUCAGCAGGCUCCACGGAUCACUGCAGGCCCCAUAGAUCUCAGCAGGCCCCACAGAUCUCAGCAGGCCCCACAGAUCACAGCAGGCCCCACAGAUCACGGCAGGCCCCACAGAUCUCAGCAGGCCCCAUAGGUCAUAGCAGGCCCCACGGAUCUCAGCAGCCCCACAGAUCUCAGCAGGCCCCACAGAUCACUGCAGCCCCAUAGAUCUCAGCAGCCCCAUAGAUCUCAGCAGCCCCACAGAUCACUGUAGACCCCAUAGAUCUCAGCAGGCCCCACAGAUCACUGCAGGCCGCACAGACCUCAGCAGGCCCCAUGGCUCACUGCAGCCCCAUAGAUCUCAGUAAGCCCCACAGAUCUCAGCAGACCCAUAGAUCUCAGCAGGCCCCACAGAUCACUGUAGACCCCAUGGAUCACUGCAGGCCCCACAGAUCACAGCAGCCCCAUAGAUCUCAGCAGGCCCCAUAGAUCACUGCAGGCCGCACAGACCUCAGCAGCCCCACAGAUCACUGUAGACCCCAUGGAUCACUGCAGGCCCCACAGAUCACUGCAGGCCCCACAGAUCUCAGCAGCCCCAUGGAUCUCAGCAGCCCCACAGAUCACUGCAGGCCGCACAGACCUCAGCAGCCCCACAGAUCACUGCAGGCCCCACAGAUCACUGUAGACCCCAUGGAUCACUGCAGGCCCCACAGAUCGCAGCAGCCCCAUAGAUCUCAGCAGCCCCAUAGUUCACUGCAGGCCCCACAGAUCUCAGUAGGCCCCAUGGCUCACUGCAGCCCCACAGAUCUCAGCAGACCCACAGAUCUCAGCAGGCCCCAUAGAUUGCUGCAGGCCCCACAGAUCACUGUAGACCCCAUGGAUCACUGCAGGCCCCACAGAUCACAGCAGGCUCCAUGGAUCUCAGCAUCCCCACAGAUCACUGCAGGCCCCACAGAUCACUGUAAACCCCAUGGAUCAUGGAGGCCCCACAGAUCACAGCAGCCCCAUAGAUCUCAGCAGGCCCCACAGAUCACUGCAGGCCGCACAGAUCACUGCAGGCCCCACAGAUCAUUGUAGACCCCAUGGAUCACAGCAGCCCCAUAGAUCUCAGCAGCCCCAUAGUUCACUGCAGGCCCCGGAGAUCUCAGUAGGCCCCAUGGAUCACUGCAGGCCCCAUAGAUCUCAGCAGCCCCACAGAUCUCAGCAGCCCCAUGGAUCACUGCAGGCCCCACAGAUCUCGGCAGGCCGCACAGACCUCAGUAGGCCCCACGGCUCACUGCAGCCCCACGGAUCUCAGCAGCCCCACGGGUCCCGCCCAGCCCCACGGCAGCCGCUCACCCCACGCGCUCCGCCCGG
ensembl:lncRNA